UGAGGAACAUGUCCUUCGGCGGGGGAGUAGCCGGCCCAACGGCCGGGUAAUACCGCGUACGACCACAUGGGGACAUCCCUGAGUGGUGAAAGCAGCAAUGCGCCGAUGGAGUGCCUCGCGGCCUAUCAGCUAGUUGGUGAGGUAACGGCUCACCAAGGCGACGACGGGUAGCUGGUCUGAGAGGAUGGCCAGCCACAUUGGGACUGAGACACGGCCCAGACCUNUACCGGGAGG
rnacentral:rRNA from 1 species